AAAUAUUUAUGGGACGUAUAUAUUAAAAAUCAAAAAUGGGCGUAAGUUAUAGUUUUAACUAGGGUCCUUAAAAGAUAGGUCAAUUCCAGGGUAGGGUUUUUUGGAUAGUAAAUAGAGAUAAGACUCCAGUGCUGGACAGUGACGAAAAACUGUUUAUACCAUAUUAAAAAAGUGUUGAUUAUUCGAAGAAACACAAUCCCAGAUAAAGUUCAGAUCGCUACACAAACGGAUUUUUAAAUCAUCAUACAUUAAUCAUAUAAUAAACAGGCGAAAAUCUAUAACUUUAGAAAAAAUGUUGUACCGACAUUUGCCAGCACUGAACCUAUCGCUGCACAGCUGAUCGCCCGCCAAUCAGCUGGGCGAUAGUUGCCGUGUCGAUAACCGUGGCAUCGAUAACGAUAUGUGUAUUUUCCUGCUCUCUCUGCACCAACACAAAACACGCAACUAAAUUUCGGUUAAAAACCCCAACUAAAAACAAUGCAAUCGAAACGGAACCAAUUAAGUGAUUAAGUGGCCAAAGCGGCGGCGCCGAAAAGCGAGCGCAGUGAAUUUUCCGGAUGAAAUCGCGUUUUCGGGGAAACUUACACAAACAUUUUUUUUCGUAAGCGCUCUCAUGUUGUCUCUUUCGCACAGCAGAAUUACUAGUUGCUGUGUGUGUGCGUGCGUGCGUUUGUGUGUGCCGUAUGCCGUAUGCCAGUGUGUGCGUGCGUGAUUGUGUGUGUGAGUGACUUUGACUGCAGUUCGCGUACGUUUUUUAUUAAUACACCACAUAACAACAACAAAAACAACAACAAACAGUAAUGGAAACUAAACAUAUUUAAUGCGAGGAGACCAGAAAUCGUCGGAAACGGCAAGGCUUCAUCACCAUCGCCACCACCACCACAGCAACAACAACAAAUUACUACAGCAUGUAUGCCAGUGUGCGUGAACGUAUUUGUGUUAAAUAAUGUUUAAACAUUUCUGAUUUCGCACACAAAACAUUAUUGAGUUGUAGUCACCAGCAGAGAGGAGCAAUUGAAGCAAACGAAGAGGAGCCAACGUUAUGAUUAAAUUCGCCUCAAAUACAAGCAAUAAUAAA